rnacentral:rRNA from 1 species
UAAGCGACUAAGCGUACACGGUGGAUGCCCUGGCAGUCAGAGGCGAUGAAGGACGUGCUAAUCUGCGAAAAGCGUCGGUAAGGUGAUAUGAACCGUUACAGCCGGCGAUGUCCGAAUGGGGAAACCCAGUGCAAUUCGUUGCACUAUCGUUAACUGAAUACAUAGGUUAACGAGGCGAACCGGGGGAACUGAAACAUCUAAGUACCCCGAGGAAAAGAAAUCAACCGAGAUUCCCCCAGUAGCGGCGAGCGAACGGGGAGCAGCCCAGAGUCUGAAUCAGCUUGUGUGUUAGUGGAACGGUCUGGAAAGUCCGACGGUACAGGGUGAUAGUCCCGUACACCAAAAUGCACAGGUUGUGAACUCGAAGAGUAGGGCGGGACACGUGGUAUCCUGUCUGAAUAUGGGGGGACCAUCCUCCAAGGCUAAAUACUCCUGACUGACCGAUAGUGAACCAGUACCGUGAGGGAAAGGCGAAAAGAACCCCGGCGAGGGGAGUGAAAAAGAACCUGAAACCGUGUACGUACAAGCAGUGGGAGCACCUUCGGGUGUGACUGCGUACCUUUUGUAUAAUGGGUCAGCGACUUAUAUUCUGUAGCAAGGUUAACCGUAUAGGGGAGCCGCAGGGAAACCGAGUCUUAACUGGGCGUUAAGUUGCAGGGUAUAGACCCGAAACCCGGUGAUCUAGCCAUGGGCAGGUUGAAGGUUGGGUAACACUAACUGGAGGACCGAACCGACUAAUGUUGAAAAAUUAGCGGAUGACUUGUGGCUGGGGGUGAAAGGCCAAUCAAACCGGGAGAUAGCUGGUUCUCCCCGAAAGCUAUUUAGGUAGCGCCUCGUGAACUCAUCUUCGGGGGUAGAGCACUGUUUCGGCUAGGGGGUCAUCCCGACUUACCAACCCGAUGCAAACUACGAAUACCGAAGAAUGUUAUCACGGGAGACACACGGCGGGUGCUAACGUCCGUCGUGAAGAGGGAAACAACCCAGACCGCCAGCUAAGGUCCCAAAGUCAUGGUUAAGUGGGAAACGAUGUGGGAAGGCACAGACAGCCAGGAUGUUGGCUUAGAAGCAGCCAUCAUUUAAAGAAAGCGUAAUAGCUCACUGGUCGAGUCGGCCUGCGCGGAAGAUGUAACGGGGCUAAACCAUGCACCGAAGCUGCGGCAGCGACACUAUGUGUUGUUGGGUAGGGGAGCGUUCUGUAAGCCUGCGAAGGUGUGCUGUGAGGCAUGCUGGAGGUAUCAGAAGUGCGAAUGCUGACAUAAGUAACGAUAAAGCGGGUGAAAAGCCCGCUCGCCGGAAGACCAAGGGUUCCUGUCCAACGUUAAUCGGGGCAGGGUGAGUCGACCCCUAAGGCGAGGCCGAAAGGCGUAGUCGAUGGGAAACAGGUUAAUAUUCCUGUACUUGGUGUUACUGCGAAGGGGGGACGGAGAAGGCUAUGUUAGCCGGGCGACGGUUGUCCCGGUUUAAGCAUGUAGGCUGGUUAUCCAGGCAAAUCCGGAUAAUCAAGGCUGAGGUGUGAUGACGAGGCACUACGGUGCUGAAGUAACAAAUGCCCUGCUUCCAGGAAAAGCCUCUAAGCAUCAGGUAACAUCAAAUCGUACCCCAAACCGACACAGGUGGUCAGGUAGAGAAUACCAAGGCGCUUGAGAGAACUCGGGUGAAGGAACUAGGCAAAAUGGUGCCGUAACUUCGGGAGAAGGCACGCUGGUGUGUAGGUGAAGUCCCUGCGGAUGGAGCUGAGACCAGUCGAAGAUACCAGCUGGCUGCAACUGUUUAUUAAAAACACAGCACUGUGCAAACACGAAAGUGGACGUAUACGGUGUGACGCCUGCCCGGUGCCGGAAGGUUAAUUGAUGGGGUUAUCCGUAAGGAGAAGCUCUUGAUCGAAGCCCCGGUAAACGGCGGCCGUAACUAUAACGGUCCUAAGGUAGCGAAAUUCCUUGUCGGGUAAGUUCCGACCUGCACGAAUGGCGUAAUGAUGGCCAGGCUGUCUCCACCCGAGACUCAGUGAAAUUGAACUCGCUGUGAAGAUGCAGUGUACCCGCGGCAAGACGGAAAGACCCCGUGAACCUUUACUAUAGCUUGACACUGAACAUUGAGCCUUGAUGUGUAGGAUAGGUGGGAGGCUUUGAAGCGUGGACGCCAGUCUGCGUGGAGCCAACCUUGAAAUACCACCCUUUAAUGUUUGAUGUUCUAACGUUGGCCCCUGACCGGGGUUGCGGACAGUGUCUGGUGGGUAGUUUGACUGGGGCGGUCUCCUCCCAAAGCGUAACGGAGGAGCACGAAGGUUAGCUAAUCCUGGUCGGACAUCAGGAGGUUAGUGCAAUGGCAUAAGCUAGCUUGACUGCGAGCGUGACGGCGCGAGCAGGUGCGAAAGCAGGUCAUAGUGAUCCGGUGGUUCUGAAUGGAAGGGCCAUCGCUCAACGGAUAAAAGGUACUCCGGGGAUAACAGGCUGAUACCGCCCAAGAGUUCAUAUCGACGGCGGUGUUUGGCACCUCGAUGUCGGCUCAUCACAUCCUGGGGCUGAAGUAGGUCCCAAGGGUAUGGCUGUUCGCCAUUUAAAGUGGUACGCGAGCUGGGUUUAGAACGUCGUGAGACAGUUCGGUCCCUAUCUGCCGUGGGCGCUGGAGAAUUGAGGGGGGCUGCUCCUAGUACGAGAGGACCGGAGUGGACGCAUCACUGGUGUUCGGGUUGUCAUGCCAAUGGCACUGCCCGGUAGCUAAAUGCGGAAGAGAUAAGUGCUGAAAGCAUCUAAGCACGAAACUUGCCCCGAGAUGAGUUCUCCCUGAGACUAUAAGUCUCCUGAAGGAACGUUAAAGACGAUGACGUUGAUAGGCCGGGUGUGUAAGCGCAGCGAUGCGUUGAGCUAACCGGUACUAAUGAACCGUGAGGCUUAACCU